CGGACGGGUGAGUAAUGUAGUGAGCAACCUGCCUUUCAGAGGGGGACAACAGUUGGAAACGACUGCUAAUACCGCAUAAUGUAUUUUGAGGGCAUCCUUGAGAUACCAAAGGAGCAAUCCGCUGAAAGAUGGGCUCAUAUCUGAUUAGUUAGUUGGCAGGGUAACGGCCUACCAAGACUGCCGAUCAGUAGCCGGACUGAGAGGUUGAACGGCCACAUUGGGACUGAGAUACGGCCCAGACUCCUACGGGAGGCAGCAGUGGGGAAUAUUGGGCAAUGGGCGAAAGCCUGAACCCCCAGCAACGCCGCGUGAAGGAAGAAGGUCUUCGGAUUGUAAACUUCUUUUAUGAGGGACGAAGGACGUGACGGUACCUCAUGAAUAAGCCACGGCUAGCUACGUGCCAGCAGCGGC
rnacentral:rRNA from 1 species